UACGUAGGGGGCUAGCGUUGUCCGGAAUCAUUGGGCGUAAAGAGCGUGUAGGCGGUUCGGUAAGUCUGCUGUGAAAGUCCAGGGCUCAACCCUGGAAAGCCGGUGGAUACUGUCGGACUAGAGUGCGGAAGAGGCGAGUGGAAUUCCCGGUGUAGCGGUGAAAUGCGCAGAUAUCGGGAGGAACACCUAUUGCGAAGGCAGCUCGCUGGGACGUUACUGACGCUGAGACGCGAAAGCGUGGGGAGCAAACAGG
rnacentral:rRNA from 1 species